GAUGAAGAACGUAGCGAAAUGCGAUAAGUAAUGUGAAUUGCAGAAUUCAGUGAAUCAUCGAAUCUUUGAACGCACAUUGCGCCCGCCAGCACUCUGGCGGGCAUGCCUGUUCGAGCGUCAUUUCAACCAUCAAGCCCCCAGGGGCUUGUGCUGGGGCCCUGCGGCUGCCCGCAGGCCCUGAAAACCAGUGGCGGGCUCGCUAGUCACACCGAGCGCAGUAGCACAUCUCGCUCAGGGCGUGUGGCGGGCUCCUGCCGUGAAACCCCCCACUGUAACCCCAAAGGUUGACCUCGGAUCAGGUAGGAAUACCCGCUGAACUUAAGCAUAUCAAUAAGCGGAGGA
rnacentral:misc_RNA from 1 species